GGAAUUUUGGACAAUGGGGGAAACCCUGAUCCAGCAAUGCCGCGUGAGUGAAGAAGGCCUUCGGGUUGUAAAGCUCUUUUGUCAGGGAAGAAACACCGGCUCUAACACAGUCCGGGAAUGACGGUACCUGAAGAAUAAGCACCGGCUAACUACGUGCCAGCAGCCGCGGUAAUACGUAGGGUGCGAGCGUUAAUCGGAAUUACUGGGCGUAAAGCGUGCGCAGGCGGUUAUACAAGACAGGCGUGAAAUCCCCGGGCUUAACCUGGGAAUGGCGCCUGUGACUGUAUAGCUAGAGUGUGUCAGAGGGGGGUAGAAUUCCACGUGUAGCAGUGAAAUGCGUAGAUAUGUGGAGGAAUACCAACGGCGAAGGCAGCCCCCUGGGAUAACACUGACGCUCAUGCACGAAAGCGUGGGGAGCAAACAGGAUUAGAUACCCUGGUAGUCCACGCCCUAAACGAUGCUGACUAGUUGUUCGGGAUUUACAUCCUGAGUAACGUAGCUAACGCGUGAAGUCAGCCGCCUGGGGAGUACGGUCGCAAGAUUAAAACUCAAAGGAAUUGACGG
rnacentral:rRNA from 1 species